AUUGAACGCUGGCGGCAUGCCUUACACAUGCAAGUCGAACGGUAACGGGCCUUCGGGUGCCGACGAGUGGCGAACGGGUGAGUAAUACAUCGGAACGUGCCCGAUCGUGGGGGAUAACGAGGCGAAAGCUUUGCUAAUACCGCAUACGAUCUACGGAUGAAAGCAGGGGACCGCAAGGCCUUGCGCGGACGGAGCGGCCGAUGGCAGAUUAGGUAGUUGGUGGGAUAAAAGCUUACCAAGCCGACGAUCUGUAGCUGGUCUGAGAGGAUGAUCAGCCACACUGGGACUGAGACACAGCCCAGACUCCUACGGGAGGCAGCAGUGGGGAAUUUUGGACAAUGGGCGCAAGCCUGAUCCAGCCAUGCCGCGUGCAGGAUGAAGGCCUUCGGGUUGUAAACUGCUUUUGUACGGAACGAAAAGCCUUCUUUUAAUACAGGAGGGUCAUGACGGUACCGUAAGAAUAAGCACCGGCUAACUACGUG
rnacentral:rRNA from 1 species